rnacentral:tRNA from 1 species
GCGGACGUGGCGAAACUGGUAGACGCAAGAGACUUAAAAUCUCUCGGCCGCAAGGCCGUGCGGGUUCGAGCCCCGCCGUCCGCACCA